rnacentral:rRNA from 1 species
UAGGGAAUAUUGGACAAUGGGCGAAAGCCUGAUCCAGCAACGCCGCGUGCACGAUGACGGCCUUCGGGUUGUAAAGUGCUUUUAGGAGAGAUGAGAAAGGACAGUAUCUCCUGAAUAAGCCUCGGCGAACUACGUGCCAGCAGCCGCGGUAAAACGUAGGAGGCGAGCGUUAUCCGGAUUUAUUGGGCGUAAAGCGCGUGCAGGCGGUUUGGAAAGUUGGAUGUGAAAGCUCCUGGCUUAACUGGGAGAGGUCGUUCAAAACUACCAGACUAGAGAAUGGGAGAGGGAAGUGGAAUUCCGGGUGUAGUGGUGAAAUGCGUAGAUAUCCGGAGGAACACCAGUGGCGAAAGCGGCCUCCUGGCUCAAAACUGACGCUCAGACGCGAAAGCUAGGGUAGCAAAC